AUGGCCGGCGGCCGACCCCCUUCACCUCCCGCCGGCUCUCCGGCGUCCUCUUCGAACGAAAAUGAAACUGGGGCUCGGGAGCAUGUCGAGGAGGUGAGCAGCAUUGAGCUUGGGGGUGCAAGCAAGGAUCUGUCUAAGUUUGAGACCCUCACGCUGAACGACACACCUCACACACUUGAAUCAGCUGACGAGUCAACAAAUAGCUUUAAUUGGAGCUAUGUGAUCGUCUUCCGCAUGCAGGGGAUAAUUGGAGAAUUUUAUCCACUUGACCAUGAAGGUGAUAUAGAUUUUGAGAUUAGACAAGAUGAAGAACGAGCUCAAUUUUUCCAAGCACAAGGAUAUUGGCCACUCGACUUUGAAACUAUUAGAGAAUAUGCAGACAUGCAAGUUGAAAAACAAACCCAAUCAGUCCAAGCACGAGGACAACAUACUUAUGCUUCUAAGAAAGAAGAAAUUGCUGCAAAUGCGAAACGAUGGAUGAGCGAGGAGGCGAUGGUGGCUUUCAAAAGAUACAUUGAGAGCAAAGAUGAUCUUAAGGGAGUUGAUUAUGAAUUUGACGAGCUUGUCCAUCAAUGUUUUAGUGUGGAGAAUUAUUUAAAGAUAUUUCAUCACUUCAACUUUACUGUCAAGAUAAAGAAGCCUGGCUUAGUUGAUUGGACAUCGGUGAUGUACUUCGCCGAGGUGAAUGUUAUGCAUAGCAUUGUUGAAUUGCAAGGCUCCUAUGAUGUUGGCUUUUUCUCCAGAGCAUUGUUCCAACUGAACUUUAGCACGAAGAUUUUCCCGCCGAUGGUAGGAUACAGUAUCAGGCCGGCUUCAGUGAUGGAGCGGCAGCAACGGCUCACCUUCGGCUUCUGGAGAUUGAGUUUUGCUUGGCUUUGUUAG
rnacentral:rRNA from 1 species